rnacentral:rRNA from 1 species
GAUGGUUAGCUGGUCUGAGAGGAUGAUCAGCCACACUGGAACUGAAACACGGUCCAGACUCCUACGGGAGGCAGCAGUGAGGAAUUUUGCGCAAUGGGGGAAACCCUGACGCAGCAACGCCGCGUGAGUGAAGAAGGCCUUCGGGUCGUAAAGCUCUGUCAAGUGGGAAAAAAUCCUUUCGAUGAAUAGUCGGGAGGUCUGAUGGUACCACUGGAGGAAGCACCGGCUAACUCCGUGCCAGCAGCCGCGGUAAUACGGAGGGUGCAAGCGUUGUUCGGAAUUACUGGGCGUAAAGAGCGUGUAGGCGGUAUGGUAAGUCAGAUGUGAAAGCCCUGGCUUAACCCAGGAAGUGCAUUUGAUACUGCCAUUCUUGAGUAUGGGAGAGGAGAGUGGAAUUCCCAGUGUGGAGGUGAAAUUCGUAGGUAUUGGGAGGAACACCCGUGGCGAAGGCGACUCUCUGGAGCAAUACUGACGCUGAGACGCGAAAGCGUGGGGAGCAAACAGGAUUAGAUACCCUGGUAGUCCACGCCGUAAACGAUGAGAACUAGGUGUAGCGGGUAUUGACCCCUGCUGUGCCGGAGUUAACGCAUUAAGUUCUCCGCCUGGGGAGUACGGCCGCGAGGCUAAAACUCAAAGGAAUUGACGGGGACCCGCACAAGCGGUGGAGCAUGUGGUUUAAUUCGACGCAACGCGAAGAACCUUACCUGGAUUUGACAUCCUCUGACAGCCCCGGAAACGGGGUCUUUCCGACUUGUCGGAACAGAGUGACAGGUGCUGCAUGGCUGUCGUCAGCUCGUGUCGUGAGAUGUUGGGUUAAGUCCCGCAACGAGCGCAACCCUUGUUUUUAGUUGCCAGUAUUAAGUUAGGCACUCUAAAAAUACUGCCUCGGUUAACGGGGAGGAAGGUGGGGAUGACGUCAAGUCCUCAUGGCCUUUAUAUCCAGGGCUACACACGUGCUACAAUGGGCUGUACAAAGGGUUGCCAUUCCGCGAGGAGGCGCUAAUCCCAAAAAGCAGCUCUCAGUUCGGAUUGGAGUCUGCAACUCGACUCCAUGAAGUUGGAAUCGCUAGUAAUCGUGGAUCAGCAUGCCACGGUGAAUACGUUCCCGGGUCUUGUACACACCGCCCGUCACACCACGAAAGUCGACUGUACCAGAAGUUGCUGGGCUAACCCCUUUUGGGGAGGUAGGUACCUAAGGUACGGCCGGUAAUUGGGGUGAAGUCGUAACAAGGUA